rnacentral:rRNA from 1 species
GACGAACGCUGGCGGCGUGCUUAACACAUGCAAGUCGAACGGAGUUUAGUCGGUGGCAACACCGACGAAGACUUAGUGGCGAACGGGUGAGUAACACGUGAGAAACCUGUCCCGGUCUCUAGGAUAACAGUUGGAAACAGCUGCUAAUACUGGAUGACGUCGGAGCGUCGCAUGGCGCACUGACGAAAGGGUUACUGGAUCGGGAGGGUCUCGCGGCCUAUCAGCUUGUUGGUGGGGUAACGGCCUACCAAGGCAUCGACGGGUAGCUGGUCUGAGAGGAUGAUCAGCCACACUGGGACUGAGACACGGCCCAGACACCUACGGGUGGCAG